rnacentral:lncRNA from 1 species
UUGGAUGAGCGAGCAACAUGGUUGAGCUGAUGGCUGACCCAAUUGAAUGUUGAGUAGACUGCUUAAAACGUUCGCACAUACACCGAGUCUGAGAGCAUCGAUAGGACAGUUUCCAGAUGAGCCAGGGGUUCUCGGAGGCGUGACCGGCCUAGGGUUAGGACUUGGGACCGAAGGACUUGGUACUGAAGGACUUGGGACCGGCUUGGGUUUGGGACUUGGGACCGGCUUGGGUUUAGGACUUGGGACAGGCUUGUGCUUAGGACUUGGGUUGCAACCACAAUCUGUUGCAGCGGUUAAGGUGAAGAAUAUGAUGUUAAGGGCGAAGAAAAGAGCAAUAGAGGCUGAGUUCUUUGAAGCCAUUUUUUUCUUUCAAAAGUUUGUUUUAAGGAUUUAUUCAGUGUCUUUGAGAGAGUGAGAGAUGAAGAUAUAUGAAGAGAGGGUGUGGGUACUUAUAGGGUUUUAGAAGGAUGUGAAGAGGACCAACUUGUUCUAUUAUAUUUGAUUAUUCACAUAUAUUUGCAAUUCUACAAAAUAUCUGUUUAUUUAUUUAUUUGCCCUUAUCUACAUAUACAAAUUCUGACCUUUCUACUUUCCUUUAUGUAGAUUCGUAGAACCUUGAAUUAAUUUAGACAUUAAUCGUUUUUGUAAAACAUUUCUAUUUAAGAAAUAAAUAUGAUUUGUGCGUUCAUAUUACUAUUAUUUUCAAAUUGUCAAUGCUGUUAAUCUGUUAUUAUCACCACCAUCAUGAUGGUUCAUGACCUCAUUGCACAUACCUUCAGAUUCUCUUUGGAUCGUAGCCAUUUUACUUGAGAGCUUCUAUACGUUAGUCUAGUGGUCUUAGUACAUUCGAGAGGAAGUUGUGCUCUACACUCUUUUCCGAGAGGAUGUGUUUUAUCACAAACUGGUCCCAGAAGAGGAAGACAUGCUAACAAAAUUCUCGAACUUCCUCGGAAAAAAAUGUUCAAUGUGAAUGUUUUCAAAAUUUUGGAUCCUCUUAUGCAUAAAUAAGAGGACAUCAAAGCCCUGGAUGAAUCAGGUUUGUCUAUAUGCAUGGUUGUGUCAUUUGUGACGUAAAGCAAACAGUAUGAAUACAAAUUAGAUCUCAUAUGGAUUAUAUAUGACUAAUCCCAACUUGCAAGAGAAUUUAGACAAGAACAUCUCAAUUUUUUUUUCCAAUGUUGGUUAGAACAAUUUGUAUUGAUUUAUUUCUUGCAUUUGAGAUUUGAAAUUACAAAGUUCGAUGAAGAAGAGGUUUGCGGUUGGCUAAAACAACCCGUGAGAUGACAUCCACGAGAGAAUAGAGUGAUCCGGCGAUUUACUUAAUAAUUCUAAGAAGGUUUACACGAUAGUUAGUUUAGUUUCCUAAUUUGAUAAACUGCUGUUAUUUAAAAUCAAUCCAAUGUUAUUUUCUGUUCCAUUUAGAUGUAGAACUAACUUUGAGAAAAUAUGUUCACAUAUAAAAAAACAAAGGAAUCUAAAUUAUGGGUAUUAUAACCAAAAUUAAACAUGAAUGAAACUAAGAUGUGAACAUAUGAAUAUUUUAGAGUAGCAGAAUCAUUUGAUUUUCCGGAAAAGGCUGGAUAUAAUGUUUAUAAAAGUCAAUAAUAAAUUUUGUCCUGAAAGAAAAUAUCUUUUUUUUUUUAGCAAUGUUAGGACAAAAAUAUAUAAAACUCAAUUAAAAUAACAUUUGGAACUUCUUAAAAAGAAACCAAUAACAAGAAAAAAAUAAAACAGUGAUAUAUAUAUAAGGUUUUACUGUGCAUAUAUCUAUUUUAUACCUUCACAGUAACUAUUAUUCAACAUGCUUUAACGCCAAUUCAUUUCAUAACUAUAAAUAUUUGCAUGAUCAACUAUGAAACUGCUUAUUAAAACAAAAUGCUACGCCAAAAAUUAGGCCAUAAAUGUUUUAUAGUUUUUUAUGGGUUUUUAGUUUUUGGUUUGUAGUUUUUGGUUUCUGAUUUUUGUAGUUUUUGAUUUUUGAUAUAGAUUUUAGUUUUUGCAAAAUAUUGAAUAGUAAUUUGUUUAGUUUUUAGGUUUUUGACAUAAUUAUUAUUUUUCAAACGUUUUUAGUUUUGAAUAAUUUGAUAAAUGGUAAAAGUAACAUUUAAAAUAAUAAACAAAAUUGAAAAAAAAAUGUCACGUAAAUGUUUUUUAAAACCUACAAAAUUUGGUUUUUGGAUUUUUUGAAGAAAUAAGCAAAAUCUUCUAAAAUCUGGUUUCCCUAUUUUCUAAAAAUCUACUUUUUUUAAAAUCAUGAAUUGAUAAAUAUUUAGUUUUUGCAAAAUCAAAAUCUAAAAACUAUCCUAAAAACUGCAUCCAUUCAAGGCCUUAAUUUGCAAUUACCACUCUUUUGAAUUGCGCUCUCCAACUAGAAGACGUCUCCAAGUAAAACGAUUUACUGUUACAAACCAAAUUGGGUUUUCCGAACCAAACCAGAAUUUGAGGGUUUGAGUUAUUUUCUCUAAUUUUUCUAACCAAUAUUACUGAUUAAACCAGAUUUUACAAAAUUGUACAAACUUUUCUUAAAAUUUUUUCAAACCAAACCGAACCUAAAUUCUUAUGGAUCUUAGAUAAAUAACCGUAUGAAAUUAACCGAUAACCGAACCAAAUUUUGAUUCCGUUUUAUUAAAUAACCUUACCUCCUAACCGAAUUACUCAAAAACCGACUAUCCAAAUUGAACCAGAACCGUUCGGUCCAAAGUCGUAGGCCUAUAAGUAGUAAAUGUAGCAUACUAUCUUCUUCGGAAAUUUCAAUAUCUCCAAUCAAGUUUAAAUUUUGAUUAUCAAAGGCUGAACAAAGAAUUAAUCAUUGGUAUGUUCAACUACACUACAGUUUUGGAGAAAUAUCAAAUCAUACAAUCUUGAUUUCAUUGAUUGGAAGGUAUAGUAACUAGUACAACAAAAAGCUGCAGCUGGCUAUAGAACUGUCAUAAAUAUCGUAGUUUGACUAGAUUUUAGUUUUGGAUUCUACUCAGAACCUCAUUUUGUCAAUUUGGCUUAAAUAUACACGAAAUAUUCUCAUCCAAAAUUAUAAAGGAAAAUAUUUGUAUACAGAAAAUUACAUGAAAUAUUUGAAUACUAGACGCUUUUUUUUUCUUUUUUUGACAACAAAUAAAAUGGACUAUGAAACGUCUUUCAUUUAAACAAUAAAAGUUACAACAAAAACAUAUAUGCGCGGAAAAAGAUAACGCCUCACACUUAAACAAAAGAUUGAAACAUUGAACCCUUAACUUGCAUACAUGCAUGCAAUUAUUCAAACUGUGAUUAUUUUAAAGAGUAAACUGUGUGCGUCGUAUGUGUAAUUGAUAUCCCUCAAGCACAUUGGAAAUUAGACGGAAGCCUUCUGUUGCAAACGUUGAGAAGAACACUGAGAGAUAUAGGAACGUUAAGGUUGAUGCCAAGAACGUUAGCCCUAAGAGCAGUGCAUAGGCAAACCGCAGCGUCAAGGUCAACCAAACCUUGAAUGAGUGAGCAGCAUGGUUGAGGUGAUGGCUGUCCCAACUGCACGUUAAGUAGACCGCUUAGCACAUUCGCACAUACACCGAGUCUGAGAGCAUCGAUAGGACAGUUUCCGGAUGAACCAGGGGUUCUCGGAGGAAUGACUGGCGUAGGGUUAGGACUUGGUACGGAAGGACUUGGGACCGAAGGAGUUGGUACGGAAGGACUUGGGACCGAAGGAGUUGGAACAUAUGGACUUGGGACCGAAGGAGUUGGGACCUUAGGACUUGGGACCUUAGGAUUUGGGAGCGGCCUAGGCUUAGGACUCGGGUUGCAUCUACAAUUAGUACCAGCGGUUAAGGUGAAAAAAAGGAUGUUGAGGGCAAAGAAAAGAGCAAGAGAGGCUGAGUUCUUUGAAGCCAUUGUUAUGGAGAAUGUUUGAGUGAGAGAUGAAGAAAAUGAAGAGAGGGUGUGGGUAUUUAUAGGAUUUUAGAAGGAUGUGAUCAUAUGAAGAGGACCAACUUGUUUUACUUACAGAACAAUUCAUUAAUGAAGUCAUGGCCUCAUUGCACAUUUCAAUUAUUAUUUUUAGGGCUGUCAACAAAAAUUAAUUGUUUACCAAUAGUUUAAUAAAAUUACGCUUUUUAUCAAAUUAAAUGUUUAUUUCUUUAAUCAAAUUAAAUUUUUAUUUUAUAAUUAAAAUUACAUUACAAUAUUACGUAAAUAAAAAUAAAAUAAAAAGUAAAUACAUUUUUGUUUAAACAUCAAUAUAUUGUUUCGACAUCAUAUGGCAAAGUGAGAAAUGAGAUCCUUUAAACUAGUUUUAAAGAUACAGUUAUUUUUAGUGUAUAUAUAAAAAACAUAUAUAUAUAAGAUUUGUUUUGAUAUAAAAUGAAAACAUAUAAAUUUAUUUCUAGUAUAAAAUAUAAACAUAAAAUUUGAAGGAUCACAUUAUAAACAAAAAAUAUUCCACUACUCCAAACUGAAGGAUAAAUUGGGUUACCCUAAAUUGUUCCUUACUCCAUAUUUGUUCACCACAAUAUUAAAAAUAUGUCCUUUAUAAAUGAGUAAUAGUUAAAAAAAUAUACCAUUGAAAUUUCUCUCCAAACCGGUCGUAAUAAACAACCCAAAAAUUACAAAUCCUGGUUGAAUUUUGAUGCUAUGUUAUGUAUACACAGGGUUCACUCGAUCGAUAGUUUAGUUUCCUACUUUGAUAAAGUGAUACUUAAAACAAAACUGAUUAUACUGUUCUAUCAAAAUGUAAUUCUAACUUUGAGAAAAUAUGUCAUGAGCAUAAUCCAAUUAAAAACAUGUACGAUGUGAACAUACUCAAAAUAUAGAGUAACGCAAAAUCAUUUGAUUUCCCGGAAAAUGCAGAUUUAAUGUUUCUUAAAGUCAAUAGUAAUAUUUUUGUCCCGAAAGAAAAAUCUCAUCUUUUUAGCAAUGCUAGGACAAAAAGAAAAGCAAAAAAAGAUAGAGCUAAUAUUUGCACCGAAAGAAAAUAUAAUCGUUUCAGCAAUGCGAAGACAAAAAGAAAAACAAAAGUCAAUUAAGAGAAUAUAUAACAUUUGGAUUCUUCAAACGAAAUGAAGAACAAGAAAAACUAACACGGUGAUAUGGACACAUUUAAUAGUUUAAUAUAUAGUUUUAAAGAAAAUCAUACAAAAAGUUAUAUUUAUUAUUUCAAGUGGUUAUCUUUCCACCACGGUCGUACGUGGGAAUAGUAUUAAGAGUAUUAUAUGAAUGUAUUUAUUUGGGAGUGGACUCCAAGAUUUAUACUGAAUGUAAAUUUUGAGUUUAAAUUUAGAGUUGAGGUCAGAACUCAACUCAAAGACGUGUUUGUUUUUUUUGGCUAAUUUAAAGACAUGUUUGUUGUAGUCGGCUAAGUUGAGAUAGUUAUUUUAAAUGAAUUGAACACUUAAAACAUUAUAAUAGUAUUCCAUAUUUCGCGCUGAUGUUAAAGGAUCGUCAUGUUUGUUUAUUCGCCACUAAUAUGGGUCGUCUUGUGUAGACGUUACGUUGACUUGAAGAUCACAAUUUUUAAUUGUUUGAUAGAUUUACGAAAACGUACAUAUUUAUCGGCUUUUAUCUUUGGAAGUAUUUUUCAUACGGAUUACAAUUAAUGGUCCUGAUUAAAAGUCAGCCCUACUAUCACUAGACUAAUCCAAUCACACAUUUUUAUUGUCUGAAUUUGUAAAGAACUCAAUUUCAGAAAAUUCGAAAAUCAUUGACAAACAGAAACGAAAAUGAAAAUGUGGAAAUAAUUUUUGAUCCACGAAGAAUUUGAUUCUUUUUUGUCAAUUAUUAUAAAAAUUAGAACGGAAUCCAAACCGGACAAAGAAAGUUUUCAUAAAGAGUUCUCAUGAAGAAACUUAUUAUAAACAAGAAAUUAAAACCCUUCUACUUUAUUAUCACAAUCACUAACUGAAUAACUGUUAGUACAUUUGAUCAACCUAAGUCUUUAUGCCAAACUUGUGAUUAGACCCAAAAAUCAUUUUUAACACUACAGUAACACAGCUUACGCCAUGUAAUUCAUAAUAUUUUAAAACUACCUAACCAAGGUAUUUUUUUAAAAAAAGUAUGUAACGAGACAUGCAUGAAGCAGAUAUAUCAACUAAAAGGUUGAGAAAAUGCAACUAAAAAUAGACCAAAACGAACAAAUAAAUAUAAAUUAUUGACAUAAUUGCCAAAGAUAAAAAUUAGGAUGUGAACGUACUCAUAUAUUUUAGUAUAUUAUUAGCGUAACGAAAAUAAACCAUUGAUCUUCACACGAAAACAGGGGCUCUUACUUAAAUGUCAAUAAAAAAAUUUGUCCUCAAAGAAAUAUCACAUUUUCAAUGAUCCUAGGACCACAAAAUAGUUUAAGCUGACAAUAAAAAAACAACACAUUAUUUCAAACUUCUUCACAAGAAACAAAGAGCAAGAAAAAUUAACAACGUGAAGUGGACACAUACUGUAUAUGCAUAUGGAAGAGGAUUUGUAAAUGAGCAACGGAAUUUGAUUGGGCAGCUAUUUAUUACUUUUAUUGAGGUUUUACCCGACUGAACAUCAGUUUCAAUUUGAUUCUAGAUAUUUCAAAUUGUUUUAUUUCCAACAAGGUUGUAAGUAGUAGUAAGGUCUUCGAAAUAUUUUUAAAUAAGUCUUUUCUAGUUUGCUACAUAUUUGACAAACAUAGUUUUUUAAAUAAAUAAACAAAUGAGAAUUUUGCAUAUAUAUAUAUAUAUAUAAUAUGUAGCAAACUACAAAAGAAUUAAUAUGAUUUAAUUUCUAUUUUUCAAGUUAGCUACUAUAGAUUUUAACCUUAUUUAUCAGUAUUUGUUUGUUUUUUUUAGAAGUCAAGUGGUUUUAACACCAAAUUUGUUUUCCUCUCACUUAGUGAUGAUAAUCGAACCCACCAAAUAGUUUUUGGUGACACUGAGGAUUUAACCUGGCAAAUAAACUCUAGUUAAUCUAUCAAGUUGAUUAGAUUUAUUUUAUUGCAGAUAAUUAUUAUUAAUAUAUUGGAGCCAUAGGACUCGGCUUCUCUGCUUCCAGAACUGUUAUUCUAGCUUCUAAGCAUGCUCUAGUUUGGCUGAGAGAGAUCCUAUAAGUUCUGGUAUUCGUUUUUUAUAUUCAGUUAUUAAAACCUUAGAUUAUCGCAAUAUUGUUUACUUUUUAUUUCUUUUAGUCAUUCUUUGCGACUUUAUUUGUAUAUAGAUAUAUCUUUGCAAGAGUACUCCAAAUUCCCCAGUCCCCACUGCAUGUGACCACAUACGUAAAUUUAAUUCUGUAUCAUAGUAACUAACAUUUACGUUAUCACAAUACAAUCCGAACAUAACCCUUCGUACAUUCGUAUCACCGUGUGCAUGUUAAAAUAUAAAUUUUCCACAAUCUAGAAUUCGAUUUUCAUAUUCAGUUAUUCAAAACCUUAGAUUGUGUCAAUAGUGUUUUGUUUUAUUUCUUUUACUAUUUCUCUGCGACUAUAUUUGUACAUAGAUAUAUCUUUGCAAGAGUGAUCAAAAUUCCCACCACAUACGUAAACUUAAUUAUGUAUCAUAGAGCUUAAUGUAACUAACAUUUACACAUUAUCACGAUUCAUAUACAAUCCGAACAUAACCCUCCAUUCGUUUCAUCGCAUGCAUGUCAAAAUAGAAAUAACCCACAUGCAAGAAUCUGAAAAUAAGACGUUGCUUACAAAACUUCUUUCGGUAAAUAGGUUGAAAAUAGAGAAAUAUAUUGCUUCACAGGUAUACAAAUGGCGAAGACGGGAAACGUUUACAAAAUGAAACUAUAAAACUCUCACAUGUUUAUUCUAUCACUUAAACAAAUUCAAACUGAAACAUUAAAACCUACCAUUCAUGCAUUUAUUCAAACAGUAAUGAUUUUAAAGAGAACACUGCGCGCAUGAAGAGUAUGGAUAGCCGCUGAUACCGCUUAAGCACAUUGGAAAUCAGACGGAAGCCUUCUGUUGCAAACGUUGAGAAGAACACUGAGAGAUAUAGGAACGUUAAGGUUGAUGCCAAGAACGUUAGCCCUAAGGGCAGUGCAGAGACAAAUCGCAGCGUCAAGGUCAACCAAACCUUGGAUGAGCGAGCAGCAUGGUUGAGCUGAUGGCUGUCCCAACUGCACGUUAAGUAGACCACUUAGGACAUUCGCACACACACCGAGUCUGAGAGCAUCGAUAGGACAGUUUCCGGAUGAACCAGGGGUUCUCGGAGGAGUGACAGGCGUAGGGUUAGGACUUGGUACCGAAGGAGUUGGAACUGAAGGAGUUGGGACUGAAGGAGUUGGGACCGAAGGACUUGGAAUCGAAGGACUUGGGUACUUAGGACUCGGGACCUUUGGACUUGGGACCGUCCUAGGCUUAGGACUUAGGUUGCAUCGACAAUCAGUAGCAGUGGUUAAGGUGAAAAAAAGGAUGUUGAGGGCAAAGAAAAGAGCAAGAGAGGUUGAGUUCUUUGAAGCCAUUGGUAUUUUCUUUAGUGUUUUAAGGAUUAUUGAUUGAGUUUGAAGAGAGAGAUGAAAAGAAAUGAAGAGAAGAUGUGCUUAUUUAUAGGGUUUUAGAAUGACGUGAAGAGGAUCCAAAUUGUUUGACUUUAAUUAUUAUUUGAAUAUUUAUAAUUCUACAAAAUAUCUGAUUUUUUAUUUGCUCAUAUUCAAAAUCUGACUUUCUUUUCCCAUUCUGUAGAUACGUAGAACCUCAAAGUAAUUUGGAACAUAGUAAUGCAUGUAAAUUAAGAAAAUAUUUGAUUCGUGCAAUUUUUUUUUUGUCAAUGCUGUUAUUAUUACCUCCAUCAUCAGUUCAUGACCUCAUUGUACAUUUUUAUAGAUUCUCUUUCGCUCAUCCCGUAUAGCUAUUUUAGUUAUUUAAGAGGAGAUAAAAUCUCACCAUACAAAAUGGUAUAUAUAAUAAAUGAAUAUUUCGCCUUUAUGUAUCCUGUUAUGCAUAAUCUAUAAAAAAUGUACAUGAAUCAAAGUAUAUAAUCUAUAAAAAUGUAGUUGAAUCUACAUAAAAUUUAUUUUUAUUUCUUUGGUCUAAAACUACGGAUUGGGCAGAAAACAUUCUUGAUGGGACAAUUCAAUCCAGCAAGGAAUUAGGUGAGACUCUUCUGCCCAUUUGUUAAAAUUCUUUAGUUACUAUUCUUUGGAUCUGAGAUGUACAAGAGGAGAAAAUUAGGUUAUCCAAUGAACCCAAGACCCACUCUAUUGACCAUAUAAAAAAAUUCAAAAUAAUAUGAUCAUCUUAAAACAAAAAUUAAGAAAGUAGAUACAUCGAAAUCAAAUUACUACAAAAAGAAUCCAUAUUUUGCGGAAAUUUAUCGCAAAUGGAAAACUUCCGACUCACUUCCUACAAAAUUAAAUUCGUUAGCUGUAAAUUAUCCGUCAAGAAAAAAUUAUGAAAGUAGAUAGAUCGAAAUCAAAUAUCUACAAAAGGUAUUAUGUAUUUUCGACAACUGUAUAUGUCAAAAAUUUAUCGUAAAUAAAGUAAACUCUGACUAAUUUCUAACAAAAUUAAAUUAAUUAGAGUUUACUGAUCCAAAACUAACUAUGUCAGAAAUUUGUCGUAAAUUAUUGAUGAAAUUAUCAUCGAAAACUCGUAUGUCGUAAGAAUAUUAGUCAGAAACUUCCAACGACAUUCAUAUAGUUAAACCUGCAUUGAUAAAAACUGGACAUAUCUUUCAAACCGAAGAUGAAUUACUAUAAAUAUUUACAUCAUUUUUUUUUUAAUCUAAUAUUAAAUUAUAUUCAAAAGAAAAAUAACGUUUUUACAAUUAGUGCAACGGGAGUUUGAAGUCCUACACAAUACUAAACUUAAAAUUGAUAAUCAUGAUGAUGAGAUUAUGAUCGACUUUGAAGCCAAGCUUGAAAACAAGUCUCAUACCACCUAUCCUUUGACCUUUUGAUUGUUGUGAAUUGAUUGCGGACUUGUGAAUCAAUCCAUUUGAUUAAUUGGCUUGGAGAGUUUGAUGGUUUGCCAUGCCACCUUCCAUUUCUUUCCCUCCAAAUGGUAUAGAGCGUUACUUGAACGACGUAUUUGAGGAGGAAGAUGUCUACUCGACUAUGAUGAUGAGCUUCGACGUAGGAUAGAAUCGCGACCAAUCAGUAGAAAAAUGUGUUUUGAACACGCCUUUUGCAAGCACAGCCCAAACCUCCGAUGCAUAAGUGCAGGAGAAGAACAGGUGCCGCAUCAUUUUGUUUCUUGCUUAAUAUAUAUCUUUGGGUUGGUUUCUAGAGUUCUUCAUUAGUUUGACAAAUUUUAUGUUUCCGAUUUCUAAAUCCAUCUAGACAAAAUUACUAUUGUAAUUUUACUUUAAUGAUUUUAAAUAAGAAACAAAGAUUUAUUUGAAAAAUAUAUGACAAAUUAUUAUUGACGAAUUCUCAAUACUACACACACACAUGGGAUAAUUAGAUAAUUUAGUUUUAAGAAUUAAAAAAAAUCGUGUAAAAGUAUUUCUAAAAAAAUAAUUAUGGCCUUGAUUUAUCUUACGUAGGAAUUUUACUUAACAACACUUGUUAAACAUGUUUACGUGAACACAUGCAUUAGGGGUAUACCUAUUAGUUUUGCAAUUCUUUUUUAUUUGGAGUUUUAGAUAUUUCAUCAUUCAAGUACUUUGACAAAAAAAAAAAAAAGUCAUCAUUCAAGUACAGUUACAUCUUUUUUUCCUUUUUAAUCAAAAAUUACAGUUACGUCUUAUAAAAAGAAUUCCAGGGUUAAACUUACACUAGUUGGAUAUAGAUUGUUGCUCUUUAGAAAAAAAAAAGAAGAAAUACAAAUACGAUUCUUUGAGAAUAAAAGUGGAAACAAGAAGCUUAUUAUUACUUUAAAUAUCAGAUUGAACAAAUUGAUAAAAAUGGAUACAGUACGAGAAGUAUAAGAAACACUUAACUGAAAAUAGGAGAAUUCAAAGAAUCUUAAUCAAGGAAAAACAUCAAAAGAUAACUUAAACAUUAUAAUCAAUCGAAGGGUGGAUAGAUAUAUCAAGCACAUACGAAACCAGAAGGAACCUUCUUGCCACAAACAUUGAGAAGAAGGCUGAGAGAGACGGGAACAUUAAGAUUAAUGCCUAAAACUUUAGCCUUUAGGGCGGUGCAGAGACAAGCGGCAGCCUCAAGAUCAACUAAACCAUUGAGGAGCGAACAACAAGGCUUCACUGGUGGUGUUCCCAACUGAAUUUUGAGAAGAUCCUUGAGAACAUUGGCGCAAACGCCGAGCUUGAGAGUGUCUUUAGGGCAGCUUCCGGUGGACUUGGGCUUAGGUUUGGGUUUAGGGGUGGAACUGCAGCCACCGCCACAUGCGGUGGUUAAAGUGAAAAAAAGAAUGUUGAAUGUGAGGAAAAUGACAAGAGAGGCUGAAAUUUUUGAAGCCAUUUCUCAAAAAAUCAAAUUUCUAUUUUAGGUAAGAAGUUUUAAGAUAGAAGUAUUGCCAAAAGAGAGUGGUGAAGAUAAAUGAAGAGAGGGUGUACGUAUAUAUAUUAGGGCUUCAAGGGGUUGGACAGUUAAUUAAAGCUGUCAUUACUGUAUAAUUUUGAAGAAUUAUUAGACAAAUUUAUAUUUUAGUAAGUGGAUCUUUGUAUUAUUAAGUGGUUAAGAUAUACUUUAUUUUUUUUUAUUGCAUUAUGAAACAAAUGUUAAAUCAUGGAUAGAUGACCCUGUUGGGCAGUCAUCGUUUUUUUCUUUUUCAAAACUUUUAUUAGUUUAGUAGUUAGAAAGUUUUUCGUUAGUCAUCUAUACAAAAAGAAGAAACAAUACAUGUUUUUUUUUCCUGGCUAAAUAUAAUAGAUGGUUUUUAACUUUAACCAAUCCAUCUUUUAUUUAUGGGCCAUAUAUAUAUAUAUAUGAAAACUGAAAAUAACGUUUUGAUGUGAAAUAUACCAAAUAUACUUAUUUAGUGCAGAGUUAACAUGAGAUAAUAUGUAUUUCUCUUUAGUUAAUAAAUGAUACUAGUUAUUUAGUACGGAGUUAACAUGAGCUAAUAUGUAUUUCUCUUUAUUUAAUCAAUGAUACUAGUUUUAUUGUAAAGUAGAUGCAUUUACAAAUAAAAGUAUUGCUCAAAUAUUUCAAUAAUGACUUUUAAUACAGUAUAUGCAUUUUCAACUGUGAACACUUUGAAAAAUAAUGGAUUUUACAUUCCGUUCGACUUUAUGUUUUCUUAAGUUGAUUCAUAUUAUAUUGGUUUUGACGUUCGACUUUAUGUUUUCUUAAGUUGAUUCAUAUUAUUUUGGGUUUGAUCUAUUUUAAAUCCAAAAAAUUACAUUUUCUUAUUUGAUUUCUUAAAAUAUUUAACUUGUUCGAGCGUCUAUUAAUUUUUUAUGUGAGUUGAUUUAAUAUUAAUUUAGAAUAAUUUGUUCUAAAACAGUCGACAAUGCUUUUCGUAGGUAAAAUUUGUAUAACAGCUGAAUUAUUUAGAAUAUUCGCUUAAAUUCAUAAUCAUCGGCUGUAUUUUCUUAUUUCAAUCUAUCUUUUGUUUUUUUUUUAUUUUAUGAACCUUAAUUAUUAAUUUUCCGUUAAAUUAAUUGUAAUGUAAUUUGUAGACUCAUAUUUAAAUUAGUCCAUGUAAUAUAUACAUUAUUUUGGUCAAAAACAAAAACACGUAGGUACACGAUUAGGUCGACGUGUUAGUUUAUUCGACUGAAAACAACUAUAUACUUAUCUUAUUCGAAAAAUUAUAGAACAAAAUAAACUAUAAUCGACGCACAUGUAUUCAAUAAUUACUCAUACUUCCCAUGUGUUGUGUAGCCCAGAAUGUAAAUAAUAGGCAUGUGUUUGGAGAUUAGUAAUUUGGAAGUUUAUUGGCUUUAAUUACCCUUCACAUUUUAUUUUUGGGAAAUUAAAAACAACUAUAAUUCAUCAAAUAACAACAAUAUUAUUCUUUUUUUUUUGUCAUCAACAAUAUUAUGCUUAUCUUAUGACAAAUAUAGCUUUGGGUUCUUGGACACUAACUUCAGGUUUCAAUCAACAUGGAGUAAACCAUUAAUCAUAUUCUAAUUAACUGUUCGCAUUUUAUUAACCCUUGGUAGUUUCUCGACGCGCUAAGUUUACAAAAUAUGGAUUUCUUCUAUUGGCGAACUCCGUCUCCGCUAAAAAAUAAAAAAGGAUACUACAGUUUUCAACGAAUUACAUAGUUUCUAUGGAAAAGUUUUUAAAAAUAAAAUAAAUAAACAAAUUUUACCAAAGAAUUAUACUGGAACCCUCAGAUUUUUUAAAUCAUGUUAUUAGCGAUCAUUUAGUUUGGGUGGCAGCUCAAAUCAGCCCAACUAAGGAUGUCAAGGAAUUAUUGUUCUUUAAGAUGUCAAGGUGAUGGUUCGUGGAAAUUAUAAUGCCUCGGCCGUAAUCGUCUGCGGCCCCACGUUUUAUUUUGGCAAGUAGAUUCGACCCCGUCCGAGACUAUUUUGGGAGGCUCGAAAGAAUUGUUUAUUGUCCUUACUUAUCGCCACUAAAUAUUUGUUGUGUUUUUUCUUCAUUAACACGGUACCCAAAAUUAAUUUCAGGCAGGUCGAACCAUCAUGAAAUAUAUAUAGUUCAAACACGUUUCACUCUACCAAAUCAAUUUUAAGUCUCUUUGUAUGCAUCACCAAAUUGUUUUUUAGAAAAGAGUUGUGUUAAAACCUCCUCACUAGCUCACAGAUCACAUUAUUGUGUAUCAAGACGGUUACUCCAACAGUGAAUUAGUGUACGUGUCUCCACACUCGUCCGGUUCGGCUCUAAUACUAGUUGUUACGCUUUCCAUGCCCUCUCUCACCAUGUGGAUUCCAUUCUUGUCCAACAGAUGGUAUGUAUAUUUGGGAGACAUUGAAAGACAUGUUUAAUGUUCCUCCUUACUCAUAUGGUAUUUAUUAUUUAACAUUGUUUUCAUUUGGUCACAUAUCCUAAAUAUCGCAAUAGUUCCAUUACGCUUAACUAUAAAAUUUUAUCGAAACGAUUAACGGAAAAUAUGCGUAUAUUUUUGUGACAUAGAUAAUCAAUCAAUUAUUUUAAACUUCUUUGAAUGUAUCUUAAUAUUUUUAAAUUCGAGGGAUUACAUUAAUCUUCUUACCCCAAAUCUGGUUUUGGAUGGAUGGAGAACUAUAAAACUUUGAACAGUUUGAGAAAUCAUAGUUUGCAUUUCAAAUAAAUGGACUGAUUAAGUUAUAUACUUGUCCCUUGUCAUUUUCGUUUUGAGAUUUGAUAUAAGUAUUUAAGGAACAUGUUUGAAUUAUUUAUUUUUUGUCAAUUAAUUUUGAAUUGAAAUUCUGGGUACAGUAUAGAGUCUAAUUGAAAAUUCAUGAUUCUUGAUACGGUAUUAGAGUCUUAACAAGCCAAAUAGAUAAAAUUGGUUCGAACAGAUGAUUAAGUUCGGUAUUAGAUGAAUGAGCCAAAGAACCAUCUUCUCGAAAUGAUAUGUUAAAAAUCCACUAGUAGAUAAAGAUUAAUAUUAGUAAUUUCAACUAUUACCGAUUUGUUUUUAUUUAGAUCUUCAGGUAUUUCUCAUUGUCUAUUUUUAUGUAUCAAAUACAAUUCUUAUAUUUUUUCCAUCAUUUGAGUAUUGUUAAUUAUUAUAAAAUAAUUCCAGGGCUACACUUUUCUAGUAUGUAUAUUUCAAUCGAUAGAUCAGGUAGACAAAGAUUCUUGCUCUUUCAACCGUUAAAAUAAUAUAAGUAAAAUUAAUGUUAGAAGAAAAGUCGAAAGAAGAAGCAGAUUAUAAUCACUUUAACAAUCUUAUUUCUGAGCAAUUUAAUUUAAAAUGUAAACAGUACAAGAAGUAGAAACAACACUGAAAAUGGGAAAAUUCAAAGAAUAUUAAUCAAAGAAAAACAUGGAAAGAAAAUUUAAAACAUUAUAACCAAUCGAAGAGUGGAUAGAUAUAUCAAGCACAUACGAAGCCGGAAGGAACCUUCUUGCCACAAACAUUGAGAAGAAGGCUGAGAGAGACGGGAACAUUAAGAUUAAUGCCUAAAACUUUAGCCUUUAGGGCGGUGCAGAGACAAGCGGCAGCCUCAAGAUCAACUAAACCAUUGAGGAGCGAACAACAAGGCUUCACUGGUGGUGUUCCCAACUGAAUUUUGAGAAGAUCCUUGAGAACAUUGGCGCAAACGCCGAGCUUGAGAGUGUCUUUAGGGCAGCUUCCGGUGGACUUGGGCUUAGGUUUGGGUUUAGGGGUGGAACUGCAGCCACCGCCACAUGCGGUGGUUAAAGUGAAAAAAAGAAUGUUGAAUGUGAGGAAAAUGACAAGAGAGGCUGAAAUUUUUGAAGCCAUUUCUCAAAAAAUCAAAUUUCUAUUUUAGGUAAGAAGUUUUAAGAUAGAAGUAUUGCCAAAAGAGAGUGGUGAAGAUAAAUGAAGAGAGGGUGUACGUAUAUAUAUUAGGGCUUCAAGGGGUUGGACAGUUAAUUAAAGCUGUCAUUACUGUAUAAUUUUGAAGAAUUAUUAGACCAAUUUAUAUUUUAGUAAGUGGAUCCUUGUAUUAUUAAGUGGUUAAGAUAUACUUUAUUUUUUUUUAUUGCAUUAUGAACCAAAUGUUAAAUCAUGGAUAGAUGACCCUGUUGGGCAGUCAUCGUUUUUUUCUUUUUCAAAACUUUUAUUAGUUUAGUAGUUAGAAAGUUUUUCGUUAGUCAUCUAUACAAAAAGAAGAACCAAUACAUGUUUUUUUUUCCUGGCUAAAUAUAAUAGAUGGUUUUUAACUUUAACCAAUCCAUCUUUUAUUUAUGGGCCAUAUAUAUAUAUAUAUGAAAACUGAAAAUAACGUUUUGAUGUGAAAUAUACCAAAUAUACUUAUUUAGUGCAGAGUUAACAUGAGAUAAUAUGUAUUUCUCUUUAGUUAAUAAAUGAUACUAGUUAUUUAGUACGGAGUUAACAUGAGCUAAUAUGUAUUUCUCUUUAUUUAAUCAAUGAUACUAGUUUUAUUGUAAAGUAGAUGCAUUUACAAAUAAAAGUAUUGCUCAAAUAUUUCAAUAAUGACUUUUAAUACAGUAUAUGCAUUUUCAACUGUGAACACUUUGAAAAAUAAUGGAUUUUACAUUCCGUUCGACUUUAUGUUUUCUUAAGUUGAUUCAUAUUAUAUUGGUUUUGACGUUCGACUUUAUGUUUUCUUAAGUUGAUUCAUAUUAUUUUGGGUUUGAUCUAUUUUAAAUCCAAAAAAUUACAUUUUCUUAUUUGAUUUCUUAAAAUAUUUAACUUGUUCGAGCGUCUAUUAAUUUUUUAUGUGAGUUGAUUUAAUAUUAAUUUAGAAUAAUUUGUUCUAAAACAGUCGACAAUGCUUUUCGUAGGUAAAAUUUGUAUAACAGCUGAAUUAUUUAGAAUAUUCGCUUAAAUUCAUAAUCAUCGGCUGUAUUUUCUUAUUUCAAUCUAUCUUUUGUUUUUUUUUUUAUUUUAUGAACCCUAAUUAUUAAUUUUCCGUUAAAUUAAUUGUAAUGUAAUUUGUAGACUCAUAUUUAAAUUAGUCCAUGUAAUAUAUACAUUAUUUUGGUCAAAAACAAAAACACGUAGGUACACGAUUAGGUCGACGUGUUAGUUUAUUCGACUGAAAACAACUAUAUACUUAUCUUAUUCGAAAAAUUAUAGAACAAAAUAAACUAUAAUCGACGCACAUGUAUUCAAUAAUUACUCAUACUUCCCAUGUGUUGUGUAGCCCAGAAUGUGAAUAAUAGGCAUUAGUAAUUUGGAAGUUUAUUGGCUUUAAUUACCCUUCACAUGUUAUUUUGGGGAAAUAAAAAACAACUAUAAUUCAUCAAAUAACAACAAUAUUAUUCUUUUUUUUUGUCAUCAACAAUAUUAUUCUUAUCUUAUGACAAAUAUAGCUUUGGGUUCUUGGACACUAACUUCAGGUUUCAAUCAACAUGGAGUAAACCAUUAAUCAUAUUCUAAUUAAGUGUUCGCAUUUUAUUAACCCUUGGUAGUUUUUCGACGAGCUAAGUUUACAAAAUAGGGAUUUCUUUUAUUGGCGAACUCCGUCUCCGCUAAGAAAGAAAGAGGGAUAUUACAGUUUUCAACGAAUUAACAUAACAUUUUAAAAAUCGAGGUAUUACAUUAAUCUUCUGAUGCCAAAUCUGGUUUUGGAUGGAUGGAGAACUCUAAAACUUUGAACAAUUUGAGAAAUCAUAGUUUGCAUUUCCAUAUCAUAAAAUGCAUAGUUUGCAUUUCAAAUAAAUGGACUGGUUUAAGUUAUGUACCAUUGUUCGUCCCUUGUCAUUUUUGUUUUGAAAUUUGGUAGAAGCAUUUUAAGGAACAUGUAUGAAUUAUUUUUUUUGUCAAUUAAUUUUGAAUUGAAAAUUCAUGAUUCUGGAUACAGUAUAGAGUCUAAUUGAAAAUUCAUGAUUCUGGAUACGGUAUUAGAGUCUAACAAACCAAAUAGAUAAAAUUGGUCCGAACAGAUGAUUAAGUUCGGUAUUAGAUGAAUGUGCCAAAGAGCCAUCUUCUCAAAAUCAUACGUUAAAAAUCACACUAGUAGAUAAAGAUUAAUAUUAGUAAUUUAAUCUAUUACCGAUUAGUUCUUAUUUGGAUCUUCAGGUAUCUCACAUUGUCUAUUUUUAUGUAUCAAAAAAAAUUCUUAUAUUUUUUCCAUCAUUUGAGUAUUGUUAAAUAUUAUAAAAUAAUUCCAGGGUUAUUUCAAUGGAUAGAUCAGGUAGAAAGCGAUUCUUGCUCUUUCAACCGUUAGAAUAAUAUAAGUAAUAUUAAUUUCGGAGAAAAAGUCGAAAGAAGAAGUAAAUUAUGAUUAUUUUAACAUUCUUAUGUCUGAGCAAUUUAAUUUAAAAUGUAAACAAUACAAGAAGUAAGUAACACUAGUCAUUGCUAUAUAAUUUUGAGGAAUUAUUAAUGGAAUUUAUUUUUUAGUAACAAUAGUCAAUGGGAUCUUUGUAUUAUUAAGUGGUUAAGAUAUACUCAUAUUUAAAUAAAAUUGUUCAAUCAUGGUGUUAUAGAAGAAUUUUAAUUAAUAACACCCGAUUAUGCUGUCUUAGUUGUAUUUCUUUUUUAAUCCCUUGGUAAUUAAAACGUUUUUCGUUUUAUGUAUGGGAAAUUUGGAAAUAUAACAUAUAAAAAAUUAUAAAUUAGGUAACUAGCCAAAAAAACAAUUAUAUGCUAUUGUGCGUAUAAAGUAUAUCAAUAUAAUUUUAUCCUUUUAAAAAUCAUUACUACCACCUUUUCCGGCCACCAUCUCCGUCCACCAUCACGUCCGGCCACCACCACCGUCCACCACCACGUCCGGCCACCACCACUUUCGAUCACCACCACUUCCGAUCACCACCACCUCCGGCCACUACUUCCGACCACCACUACCUCCGGCCACCACCACUUCCGGCCAUAACCACUUCCGGCGACCACAAACUCCGAUCACUACCCUCAGCCACCAUCACUCCGAUCACAACCACCUCCGGCCACCACCAUCUCCGGCAACCACCACCUCCGGCCACCACCACGUCCGGCCACCACCGCCUCCGUCCAUAACCACCUCUGGCCACUACAACCGGCCACCAUCACCCCAGGCCACAACCAUAUCCGGCCACCACACCAUCUCUAGUCACCCUCAAAAAAGCCAAUUUGGUCAAUAUACUACUCUUUAUGGUUAGUUAUUAUAUUUUUUGAAAAUAUAGUGUUAGUUUAUUAAUUAUUUUAAAAAGUGUUUGGUUUGCAAUUCACCCUUUAUGUAUCAUUUUUACAUAAUAAUUUCAAAAGAUUAAAAAAAAAAGAACUUGUAGUAACAAGAUACAUGUUUCUUUUUCCAACAAAAAAAAAAAAGAUAUAUGUUUCUUUUGUUGGCUAACUAGGAUAUGAUCCGCGGUAUACCGCGGAUUAAAUAUUUCAUUUAUUUUUCUUUAUUAUAAAAUAUAAUUUGUCGUUUCUUUUUGUUUGUGGUGAUUAUUAAUUAUCGAUAAGGUUGUGUAUGCUUUUUAUUGAGUCAUAAUUAUGAUAUUAGUAAAUCUAAUAUGUGUUAUUUUAUCUUCUAGGAUUUGACUUGUGAUAGACUAUACCACGAGAUCAUAUUUUACUUUUUAUUCAUAAUAUAUUUUUAAAAAGAUUAUAUAAUUUAAAUUUUUGGUGUUUUCAAAUUUAACAUGUGGAACAUAUGUAAUUUAGUAAUUUUGUAUUAAAAUUACACAUUAAAAUGUAUCAAAGAAGAAUAACAUUUAGGAGUGUCAAAAAAGAUUAACACUUAUACUAUAAUGUUGAUUUUAUGUAUUUUUUGUAGCUAAAAAAUUAAAAUUGAAAUUAUAUUUGUUAUGUUAUUAUUGUUUGUUUUGUUAAGUAUUGUACAGGUGUAAUUUGAUUGUUAAUUUUAGGAGUACACCCAAGAUAUCCAAAUUUGUCUCAUCUAAACUCAUAGCACCAUAUAAACUCGUCUCAUCCAAACUCUUUCUACCAUGUAAACUCGUCUCCUCUAAACCCUUCCUGCCACAUAAAUCCGUCCAGUAAUAACUAAAAAUCAAAUUGUUCUUUUUUUUUUAAUAAUAUUUUUAUUUAAUAUACUUCCAGUCAAUUUACAAUUUCAAUCUAAUAAGAAAAAUUGUAUACUAUAUUGAAAUUUUAACAAUUGUAUACUAUAUUGAAAUUUUAACAAUUUCAAUCUAAUAAGAAUCAAUAUCGGAUCGUUUUGAAGAUUUUAUAUCGAAUUCUUUGAACAAAAGAUAAUGCAAUCUCUUAUUUUAACCGAUGUAAGACAUUGAACCAACAUAUUUUCAUCAAUUGGAUAAUAUUUAUAUGUGUUUUAAAAUAUAGAAUCACAAUAUAUGCGGGAAUGUUAUGAAUAUUAGAUGGAUGCCCAUUAUAAGGCCCAUCUUCUAGAUCUUCUAGAUCCUUCUAGAAUAGAAUAUUCUGUAAUUAUCCUGUAGAAACCCUAACCUUGUACUCCUAUAUAAAGGACCUUUCAUUCAUUGAAAUAAUACACACAAAUCUUCCUCUUCUUCUUCUUCUUUUCUAACAGGGAAAUGUUUUUGUGGGAUUUGUUAAAAUCUUUUUUUUAAUGCCCCUUUGCAACAAUUUCAUCUCAUUUUCAAAAAUACACCUCUUAUAUGCUAAAUGACUAAAUUAUUCUUCUAUUAUUGAGUGAACAUAAUGAGAAAAUUAAAACUAUUUUGGCACCAAAAAUUUUCAACUUUUAAAAAUUUUCUGCCAGAAUUUAUUUUUUCUCGCCGCACCUAAUGUUUUUUUCUAAUAGUACAAAAAUCCGUCAAAACAGUCUCUGCCAAAAUUUCAAUUCAAAAAUCUUUCUCAAUCUUUUAAAAAAUCUUAUAAAAUUCUUGUAAAUUCUUAUAAAAUCUGUGUAAAAUCGUUAAAAACACUUGUCAAUUUUUUUAAAGCCUUUUAAAACUCUUGUUAACUCUUUUAAAACAAUUGUAAAUAUUUUUAGAACUCUUUAAAAUCAUUUGUAAAUAUAUUAAAACUUUUAUAAAGUCUUUAAAAAUAUUUAAAAAUCCUUUUAAAACUCGUUAAAAACUGUUGUAAAUCUUUUAAACCUUAAGAGCUCUUGUAAAGUCUUAUAAAUAGUUUUUAAAUAAAUUUACAAGAGUUUUUAAAUGGUUUAAAAUCUGUAAGGCUUAUUUAACGUUUAUAUGAUUUAACAUAAAAUGAAUAGCGGUUGGAAAGAUUUAUGCAUUGUUUUAUAAAAUCUGUAAUCACAGUUAAACGUGAUUAUCAAAAGAAGAAUUAAAUUAGAUCGAUGCACAUGUGUUCAAUAAUCACCUCAUAAUUCCCAUGUGUAUCCCCGUAUGUGAUUGAGGCUUUUAGCUGGCGAUUAUGUUCAAAGAUUUGUAAUUUGGAAUUUAGUAACCACAAAGUCUGACUAUCACAAUUUUCUUGGCUUUUUAUCCUUCACGUUUUAUUCAUCUAUAAGACUUUGAACAAAAGAAAAAAAAAAAAACUUUGAACAGAUUGCUUUCAAAAAUCAAUAAAUAUGAACCACUUAUUUUCACAUCCAUUAUUCAUGGAGAAAGGGCUACAGAAUUUAACCCAAACAAACAAAUAACACUAAUUAUAUAAACAUAAUGUUUAGUAAUAUUUUGUGUUGGUUUGAAAUGUAAUUGAUAGCCAAGAUGAAUUAUAGUAGUUCAUUAAGUUUUGUAGUUUGGGCGAAAAUAUGGAUCGACUACAAGAAAAGAGAAAAA